UAAAUUAACUGACGCUGAGGUACGAAAGCAUGGGGAGCAAACAGGAUWARAKACCCUGGUAGUCCAUGCCGUAAACGAUGUCUACUAGCCGUUGGGGCCUUUGAGGCUUUAGUGGCGCAGCUAACGCGAUAAGUAGACCGCCUGGGGAGUACGGUCGCAAGACUAAAACUCAAAUGAAUUGACGGGGGCCCGCACAASCGGUGGAGCAUGUGGUUUAAUUCGAUGCAACGCGAAGAACCUUACCUGGSCUUGACRUACUAGAAACUUUCCAGAGAUGGAUUGGUGCCUUCGGGAAUCUAGAUACAGGUGCUGCAUGSCUGUCRUCAGCUCGYGUCGUGAGAUGUUGGGUUAMCUCCUCGCCCGAGCUCACCCCYUUUUCCUWYCUUGCCUGU
rnacentral:rRNA from 1 species